AAACGUAGGGGCCUGACGUUGUUCGGAAUCAUUGGGCGUAAAGGGCGCGCAGGCGGCCGUCCAAGUCCGGUGUUAAAUGGUCGGGCUCAACCCGAUCAUGCGCUGGAAACUGGGCGGCUUGAGUCCCGUAGGGGAUGCCGGAAUUCCAGGUGUAGGGGGGAAAUCUGUAGAUAUCUGGAAGAACACCGAUGGCGAAGGCAGGCAUCUGGCCGGAGACUGACGCUGAGGCGCGAAGGCGCGGGGAGCGAACAGGUUUAGAUACCCUGGUAGUCCGCGCAGUAAACGAUGCGCACCAGGUGUCGGGUGGCAGCGCCCGGUACCGGAGCUAACGCGAUGAGUGCGCCGCCUGGGGAGUAUGCCCGCAAGGGUGAAACUCAAAUGAAUUGACGGGG
rnacentral:rRNA from 1 species